rnacentral:rRNA from 1 species
UACGUAGGCAGCAAGCGUUGUUCGGAGUUACUGGGCGUAAAGUGUGCGCAGGCGGCUUCGCAAGUCGAGUGUGAAAUCCCCGAGCUUAACUUGGGAAUUGCGCUCGAAACUACGGAGCUGGAGUGUGGCAGAGGAAGGUGGAAUUCCACGUGUAGCGGUGAAAUGCGUAGAGAUCGGGAGGAACAUCUGUGGCGAAGGCGGCCAUCUGGACCAGCACUGACACUGAGGCACGAAAGCGUGGGGAGCAAACAGG